rnacentral:misc_RNA from 1 species
GGCAGCCUUAGUUGUCUUAUACCAGAGGAUGCAGAUGGCAGCUCUAGUUGUCCUUUAUUAGAGGAUGGAGAUCGAGAUUUGAAAAUAAUAGGCAGUGGAAGACCUGUACUAGGUGACAUUGUUGAGAUUGUGGAUAGUGAUGAUGACUCUUCUCCGUGUGAAUUUUUGGGUACAAAAGAGAUGGCUAUCACAGCACAUGGGGACCAGGCACAAUCAGGGCAAGCAGUUGCUGAACGUGAGACUGAAGUGCUCAAAAGAAAAAGGGCUUCAAGUGUCAUUGAAGAAGGGAAUUGUAAUAAUCAAGAUGUUGAUGACAAUUGUUCAACUGAGAAACCUAAGAUGACAAAAAUUCAAAAGAUUAUCAUAGUUCUCCUGCCAUGAAUUGUUCAGCAGCAACCUUGUCCUUUGGAACUAAUAAUCGUGCGAGGGAAUUUACUCCAUCAAAGCUAGCUCUUUUGCUAGCAUGUGAAGAGAAAAUGGG